CAACUCUCUUUCUUCCUCUCCUACUCGUGAAACAAAAAAUAUGGAUCUUUUCUCAUAAGUUUAGGAAGCUAUCAAAGACAAAAAGCCAAGAAUUGUUUCUCUUCAAAACAAACCAAGAACGGAUUGAUUGUCUUCACAGUCACCAAUCACCACUAAAUCUUAUGCUUGCUUGACAACAUCUUUCAAAUUUUAAUUGAUAAAAAAUUCACAAUCCAGAAAAAUCAUGAAACUAACAUAGG
rnacentral:lncRNA from 1 species